rnacentral:rRNA from 1 species
CGAAAGCCUGACGGAGCAAUACCGCGUGAGGGAAGACUGCCUAUGGGUUGUAAACCUCUUUUUUCAGGGAGGAAUAAAAUGACGUGUACCUGAAGAAUAAGCAUCGGCUAACUCCGUGCCAGCAGCCGCGGUAAGACGGAGGAUGCAAGUGUUAUCCGGAAUUAUUGGGCGUAAAGCGUCUGUAGGUGGUUUAAGAAGUCGACGGUUAAAUAUUGAAGCUUAACUUCAAAACUGCCGUGGAAACUUUUAAACUAGAGUGUGAUAGGGGUAGAGGGAAUUUCCAGUGGAGUGGUGAAAUGCGUAGAUAUUGGAAAGACCACCGAUGGCGAAAGCACUCUACUGGGUCAUUACUGACACUAAGAGACGAAAGCUAGGGGAGCA